CUAACUAAUUGUUAGACAAUGAAGGAUUCAAGGACAGCCCAAAUGACAACGAGCCAAACCUGCAUUGUGUUAAGAAAAUUAAGGAAGAAUGUGAACACGUGUGUCCAACAGCCUUAAAGGAGUAAGAGACUGGCUGUAACAAAAUCCAGCAAACACAGGGGUGCCCCAGUACUGCGUUUGAGACCGCUGUAGAUUCAAUCGCUUCACCAAGCCCUUCCUCUGACGUUCUGCGCUUGUUUUGUGAAUCGAUGAGGUGAUUUAGAAGAGGAUGACCGAUGAGGAGGAGGGGCUGAGCCUGGAUGAGGACAAGGACUCAGUGGAGGACCUGUGGUGUCUGUGUGGGUAGACGUGAUGCGUUUGUCCAGAAGCAACGGCCACUUCCUCCAGUAGCCGCACUGGGUCGCGCACCGGGUCCCGAACGCAGACUGAGAGAAGUGGCCCCUCCAACAGCCAUUUUACCAGCAAUUUCUGACGGGCCCCACCGGGUGAAACUGACCUCAUUCUCCAGCAGAUGGCGACAUCAUUCCAACUGCGUAUCCCGGGAGACCUACGCCUGAAGAAUGAACAGGCUUCUCUAGGCCAGGCGAAAUAAAACAGGGAAAAAAUAGACCCGUGAUAGAGCAUGCGAUACCGUACACAAGCGUGUUUACUCAGUGCUGACACACACUGUAAAGCCAGUUUUCAUUGUGUGUUUACCUUCUAAUAUUUUAUUCAAACACAACCGGCACCAGAGGAUCUACCUGCAGCACGUCUCAAUGAAAGAGGAGCUGUCGGCCUGCAAGCACCCUCCUGAUGAGGGCAUGUUUACUGUGUAGAGCUGAGGAAAUGUUUCAGUGAAUGAUCCGGGUGUAUUCUGUCAGUUGAACAGGAGCGUAUGAAAAACAUCUCCAUGGUUACCUCUCAUAUUCAGCCUAUGAGAUAAGCCAUGUUGUGGCUGUAAGCUAUAAAUGCUGGGCUCUGUCUGGUUCUGCACAUAAAAUUUCUGCACCUUCCUUACGGCUGAAACACAUGCAACAGAUGGCAUAAUCCCCCAUGCCCUUGAAGAAGUUUUCAGAAAACGGACACCACAAACGAUUCAGAUUAGUUGCAUAUUUUUAAUGUGUUCAGCAUGAUGUCAGUUUGAGCAGUAAAAAGCAGGGAUAGGAAAUUCCAUAUAUAAAACAUGACCUUUUUUUUUUUUAGCUGAAAGACGCGUUCAAGAAGCACUAUUAUCAUUAUCAUAUAGACAAACAGUUUACACAAAUGCAACAGUAUGAAAUGGUGAGAUUAUGUCAUUAUAAUAUGUUCCCCCAUUCCAGUGUGAGGGGAGGGACCCUUUAGCUUUAUAACAGGUCCUCACCAGUGUCUGUAGCAGUGCGCCAGACCUGGGUCAAAUACAUAUUUGUUUUGGAUUCCAAUACUUUUCUGCGCUCUGUUGAUCUUGCCUGGUGUAAGUGAGCCAGCCAAUGUGACCAGAAUGCGGCGUUAGCACUUUUUGAAAGUAUUUAAUUGGUUCAAAUCCGCCAGACAAGAUCAGUAAAGCACAGAAAAGUGUUUGAAUCCAAAACAAAUGCGUAUUUGACCCAGGUCUGCAGUGCGCUAAGCAAUAAGGAUUGCGUCACAGAUCGCCACGCAAGAUGACUAUUAAAGGCACUUAGGGAUGCUCUUAAAAAUAAAAUAAAAAUCACUACAAUUUGUACUCAAUAUUUUGGUACAUGAAAUCAUUUGAAUAUAGUUUUUUAAACAAAAAAGAAAAUAAAUUCUGCAUUAGACAAUUAACCCCAGAGGAAGUCAGUAGUUGAGCGUACCACGUAAACACAGUCAGUGGACCUCAAAAAAAAGAUUUAUAAAUUUUUGGCACUUUGUGCACUACCAGUCCCUUUUCUCUGGGUUUGGCGUUCUCACAGAACACCUCUACGUGCCUCUUUAAAUACUACAACGGGGCUGUCGGGCUCCAGCCCUGGAGAGCUGCAGUGUCUGCCAGCGUUUGUCGCGUUUCGCCUCUUAAGGGAUGCCUUUAAGUCAUCGCAUAGACGAGUCUACACACCUCGUUUUCGAGGCUUACACUGACUACUGGUCGAAGGGGAAACCCCAAACCCUGCAGACACCGCAAUAGUCCAGGACUCCAGUCAGACAGCCGACGCUACGACGCUAGCCUGUACAGCAGCUGUUAAAGCUCAGUGAACCACAGCGAAACAAAUUUCACACGUUUUCUUCACUUUCAGAGAGAAAAGCAGGAUUUUUCUUAUGCUUGACAGUGACACGCGCACGUAUCUAGAAGUGCUCAGCCUUCAUAACUGAAGAGGGCCUUUUUAAGUACGUUUUAAGUUCCAGGUGUGUGGCUGCAUACUUCAAGUGACAUUUUUUUUUUUCACGGGGCGGAAAAUACUAAAAUUAGACCAUUCGCGGCCACGUUCUCAGUGGUG